UAAGUAGAUAGUGAAAUCGUGUGGCUCAACCAUACUCACAUUAUCUAAACUACUCAGCUAGAGGAUGAGAGAGGUUAUUGGAAUUCCCAGUGUAGGAGUGAAAUCCGUAGAUAUUGGGAGGAACACCGAUGGCGUAGGCAGAUAACUGGCUCAUUCCUGACACUAAGGCACGAAAGCGUGGUAGCAAACGGGAUUAGAUACCCCGGUAGUCCACGCCGUAAACUAUGGAUGCUA
rnacentral:rRNA from 1 species